UUGGAGGGCAAGUCUGGUGCCAGCAGCCGCGGUAAUUCCAGCUCCAAUAGCGUAUAUUAAAGUUGUUGCAGUUAAAAAGCUCGUCGUUGAAUUUCGGGAUUAGUACGUCGGUCGUGCCUUAGGUACGUACUGGUGUUACUGGUUCCUACCUUCUGACGAACCAUCAUGUCAUUAAUUUGGUGUGGCGGGGAAUCAGGACUGUUACUUUGAAAAAAUUAGAGUGUUUAAAGCAGGCUCGCGCUUGAAUACAUUAGCAUGGAAUAAUGAAAUAGGACGUUGAUCCUAUUUUGUUGGUUUCUAGGAUUGACGUAAUGAUUAAUAGGGAUAGUUGGGGGCAUUAGUAUUCAAUUGUCAGAGGUGAAAUUCUUGGAUUUAUUGAAGACUAACUACUGCGAAAGCAUUUGCCAAGGAUGUUUUCAUUAAUCAAGAACGAAAGUUAGGGGAUCGAAGACGAUCAGAUACCGUCGUAGUCUUAACCAUAAACUAUGCCGACUAGGGAUCGGAUGAUGUUAAUUUUUUAAUGACUCAUUCGGCGCCUUACGGGAAAC
rnacentral:rRNA from 1 species